UGGGGAAUUUUGGACAAUGGGGGCAACCCUGAUCCAGCCAUGCCGCGUGAGUGAAGAAGGCCUUCGGGUUGUAAAGCUCUUUCGGACGGAACGAAAUUGCCCUGGAUAACACCUGGGGUGGAUGACGGUACCGUAAGAAGAAGCACCGGCUAACUACGUGCCAGCAGCCGCGGUAAUACGUAGGGUGCGAGCGUUAAUCGGAAUUACUGGGCGUAAAGCGUGCGCAGGCGGUUUCGUAAGCUGGAGGUGAAAUCCCCGGGCUUAACCUGGGAACGGCCUUCAGGACUGCGAGGCUUGAGUACGGCAGAGGGAGGUGGAAUUCCGCGUGUAGCAGUGAAAUGCGUAGAUAUGCGGAGGAACACCGAUGGCGAAGGCAGCCUCCUGGGCCGAUACUGACGCU
rnacentral:rRNA from 1 species